AUCCAGAAGUUCUGACGCUGCUGUUGAAGAGAUUUCAGUUUGACCACAGGUGGAAUCGAUAUGAUAAAAUCCAGCGCAGUGUGGAGGUUCCCCACUUAAUACCAGUACAGGGUCAGAAUUAUGAGCUGUAUGCAUGUGUGGAGCACAGCGGUGAUCUGAAAGCAGGACAUUACACUGCAACCAUCAAGUCUGAGGAUGAUGGGAAAUGGUAUAAGUUCAGUGACACCACAGUAGUGCCGCUUUCAUUCCAGCCUCUCCAGGUGGAUUCCAGUCACAGAUUCAGAGAUGCUUAUCUUCUAUUUUACCGGAGAGAGAAAAGAAGUUCAUCUGGAGACGAGGCGUCCCCUCCUGCAGCCUCCACACUGC